UACGUAGGGUGCGAGCGUUGCCCGGAUUUAUUGGGCGUAAAGGCGCGUAGGCGGCCACGCACGUCCGUUGUGAAAUCGCCCGGCUCAACUGGGCGGGUCAGCGGAUACGGUGUGGCUCGAGCAAGCUAGGGGCAAUGGAAUUCCGGUGUAGUGGUGGAAUGCGUAGAUAUCGGGAGGAACACCAGUGGCGAAGGCGGUUGCCUGGAGCUUGCUGACGCUGAUGCGCGAAAGCGUGGG
rnacentral:rRNA from 1 species